GUAUCAAUAAGCGGAGGAAAAGAAACUAACAAGGAUUCCCCUAGUAACUGCGAGUGAAGCGGCAAGAGCUCAAAUUUGAAAUCUGGCCCCCUCGGGGUCCGAGUUGUAAUUUGCAGAGGAUGCUUCGGGCGCGGCCCCCGUCUAAGUGCCUGGAACGGGCCGUCAUAGAGGGUGAGAAUCCCGUCUGGGACGGGGUGUCCGAGUCCGUGUGAAGCUCCUUCGACGAGUCGAGUUGUUUGGGAAUGCAGCUCUAAGUGGGUGGUAAAUUUCAUCUAAAGCUAAAUAUUGGCGAGAGACCGAUAGCGCACAAGUA
rnacentral:rRNA from 1 species